ACACAGGUCUCUGCUAAAGCGAAAGCUGAUGUAUAGGGGCUGACGCCUGCCCGGUGCUGGAAGGUUAAGGGGAACACUUAGCGUAAGCGAAGGUGUGAACUUAAGCCCCAGUAAACGGCGGCCGUAACUAUAACGGUCCUAAGGUAGCGAAAUUCCUUGUCGGGUAAGUUCCGACCCGCACGAAUGGCGUAAUGAUUUGGGCACUGUCUCAACAGCAAAUCCGGCGAAAUUGUAGUGCAAGUGAAGAUGCUUGCUACCCGCGAUUGGACGGAAAGACCCCGUAGAGCUUUACUGUAGCUUAGCAUUGAAUCUCGGUAUUGUCUGUACAGGAUAGGUGGGAGACUUGGAAGCUUGGGCGUCAGCCUGAGUGGAGUCAUCCUUGGGAUACCACCCUGACAGUACUGGGGUUCUAACCGGCGGCCAUGAAUCUGGUCACGGGACAUUGUUAGGUGGGCAGUUUGACUGGGGCGGUCGCCUCCUAAAAAGUAACGGAGGCGCCCAAAAGUUCCCUCAGCGCGGUCGGAAAUCGCGCGAAGAGUGCAAAGGCAGAAGGGAGCUUGACUGCGACACAUACAGGUGGAGCAGGGACGAAAGUCGGGCUUAGUGAUCCGGUGGUACCUCGUGGGAGGGCCAUCGCUCAACGGAUAAAAGCUACCUCGGGGAUAACAGGCUGAUCUCCCC
rnacentral:rRNA from 1 species